rnacentral:rRNA from 1 species
CCCUUCGGGGACAAAGUGACAGGUGGUGCAUGGUUGUCGUCAGCUCGUGUCGUGAGAUGUUGGGUUAAGUCCCGCAACGAGCGCAACCCUUGAUUUUAGUUGCCAGCAUUUAGUUGGGCACUCUAAAGUGACUGCCGGUGCAAGCCGGAGGAAGGUGGGGAUGACGUCAAAUCAUCAUGCCCCUUAUGACCUGGGCUACACACGUGCUACAAUGGAUAGUACAA